AUGUUUUUGCAUUUCUGUGUUCUUCCGCUCCUCCGUUCUUCUCCAUUCUCUUCUCCUCCUUUCUGGGUUUCCUCGCGUGGGUGGCAUUUUUCUAGGGUUUUGUUCCCUUUUCUGCCUUGGCAUCGCUUGUUAAAACCCUUUUCCUUUCUUCUUUCUCCAGCUAUUUAUCCGCAUCAUGGUGCGCCCGAAAUCAAAGUCCG
rnacentral:lncRNA from 1 species